rnacentral:piRNA from 4 species
CUGAAUCCAGCGAUCCGAGUUCA